GACGAACGCUGGCGGCGUGCUUAACACAUGCAAGUCGAACGAAGAGCGAUGGAAGCUUGCUUCUAUCAAUCUUAGUGGCGAACGGGUGAGUAACGCGUAAUCAACCUGCCCUUCAGAGGGGGACAACAGUUGGAAACGACUGCUAAUACCGCAUACGAUCUAAUCUCGGCAUCGAGGAUAGAUGAAAGGUGGCCUCUACAUGUAAGCUAUCACUGAAGGAGGGGAUUGCGUCUGAUUAGCUAGUUGGAGGGGUAACGGCCCACCAAGGCGAUGAUCAGUAGCCGGACUGAGAGGAUGAACGGCCACAUUGGGACUGAGACACGGCCCAGACUCCCACGGGAGGCAGCAGUGGGGAAUCGUCCGCAAUGGACGAAAGUCUGACGGAGCAACGCCGCGGGAGUGAUGACGGCCGUCGGGUUGUAAAGCUCGGUUAAUCGGGACGAAAGGCCUUCUUGCGAAUAGGGAGAAGGAUUGACGGUACCGGAAUAGAAAGCCACGGCUAACUACGUG
rnacentral:rRNA from 1 species